AAAACGGCUCUGGUUGGGUCCCCAUUAGAGCCACCAAAAAUUGACAAUUAAAUUGACU
rfam:Intoshia linei isolate Intl2013 Contig_39224, whole genome shotgun sequence.